AUAUCUCUCUGUACGGGAAGGAUGAGAAGCUUCGACUAAGGUUCGAUUCGAGCGCAGCGA
rnacentral:sRNA from 2 species